AAGGCUUCCAACCUCAAGCCCUAAUCUUCUGGAGCAGGACAAACAAUGGGUUAUUUAUUCAGCAGUCCUAAACUGGCCAGUUCCCCGAGGUCUGCAGAAAAAGAAAGGACCUGGACGUCCGGCCCAAUUGAUAAAGGGGCCUGGGGGAACCCAGGAGAGUGAGGGCCCAUUAACGCCUGCCUCCUUGGCAGUCCAGCAAAGACCAACCCGCCUGCUUUGAAGUGAGUCCAGGACCAAAAGCCACUUUACCGCAGAGCCCAGUUGAGCAUAAAGUGCUCUGGCACUACCUGCUGCUGUCAGUGAUAAGACAAAGUUAUCAGGUUCAAAUGAAGGGAGAAGACCCCUGGACUGAACCGCUCCUGGCAAAACGAUUGCAAAAGGACAAAGAAAGAAAGAAAGAAAGAAAGAAAGAAAGAAAGAAAGAAAGAAAGAAAGAGAAGACUUUCUCUCCUGCACUUUUCCUGAUGAGCCCUGGAGGCGAAAGAAUAUUGGGACAGCCAUAAGCUUGUGAAUCUUAAAAGUUUAGGAGACCAAGUUACCACAAGUUCAAUGACUGGAAUCAAGUUCAGAGCUGGAGUGCCAGGAAAGCCCUGAAGAAUGGGAGCCACAUUAUUUUAAAGGCAUCCUCUACUUACUGAUUUGUUCUUUCUCUGUUUUGUUAAAAAUCUUUAAAAAUGUAAAUUGUCCCUUAGGAGCUUCUUUGGCUGUAUACUAAAAGUUUUGAUAUAUUAUAUCAAUGUUAAGACACUUGUUUGUAAUAAAUACUUGCCAAUUCUUACAAUCACCUCCUCGUUUCCAACACAUCAUUCCUUUAAUAAUCCAUCUAGCUUUUUAUCAAACAUCAACGUAAAGCUUCCUGGCCUAUAGUUUGAAGUAUUACCUUCUUUGAAGAUUGUAAUCUGGGCCCUCUUCUCUAGUUCUACUCUUUCUUGGUGACUUCAUCAGUUCCCAUGGACUUAAUUAUCAUCUCUAGGCAAAUGACUGUAAAAUGAGCUGGAGAAGGAAAUGGCAAACCACUCCAGGAUCUUUGCCAAGAAAAGCCCAAAAUGGGGUCACAAAGAGUCAGACAUGACUAAUCAACUAAACAACAACAAAAUGUACACAAUUGUUAGCAAGUUGACUCCUUCACUAGAAUGUGAGCUCUAGGGGAGGAGAGGAAAUGUUUUGAUGGCACAGUGGACAGAGUGCCAGGACUGGAGUCAGGAAUACUCAUCUUCCUCAAUUGUGUAACUAUGGACAGCUCAUUUAAUCCUCAGUUUCCUCAUCUGUAAAAUGAUCUGGAGAAGAAAAUUACAAUAUCUCUGCCAAGAAAAUCCCACACGGGGUUACUAAAACGUGGACCUGACUGAACAAUAAUAUCUAGCACAAAGGACAGAGAGAAUUUUUUUCAUAAACCUAGCGAGCAUUCUCCACAAAUACACAGUCUCCAAAGAAAGAAUGGGCUCAAACUGCAUUCAGAAAGAGGAUCACAACAUAGUAUUUCCACUUUUUUGUUGUUGUUUGCUUGAUUUUUUUUCUUUCUCAUUUUUUUCCUUUUUGAUGUGAUUUUUCUUGUGCAGCAUGAUAAUUGUGGAAAUAUGUUUGAAGAAUUGCAUGUUUAACCUAUACAAGAUUAUUUGAUGGAGAAGGGUGGGGGGGGGAGGGGAAGAGAAGAAAAAUUUGGAACACAAAGUUUUGCAAGGAUGAAUGUUGAAAAUUAUCUUUGUAUGUAUUUUGAAAAUAAAAAGCUAUUAUUUAAAAAAAAAGAAUGGGCUCAGACUUAGAGUAUAAUGGUAGUAAGGUACACAUGUAAUAUUUAUUUGUGACAUGAUCAAUUCACAACUUCUGGGACUGAAAGACCUGGAAGCUCUUUCAUCAUAUAGCUAGAGAGACUUAGAAUCUAGAAUCUGUUGGGUAGAUUGAUUAGUGGGCUCCCAGGAAAAGGACAGAAAAUCAUUUUCCUCCCCACCUCUAUAUACCCACUAUAAACUCCUUGAUAUCAAAAACUGUUUCCUUUUUCUCUUUGUAUCCUCAAUGCUUAGCAUGAUGCCUAACAUAUAAUAGGCAUUUAACAAAUGCUUAUUGAUUUGAAUUGAUUUAGUGACCUGUCUCUUAACUCUGUCAUUUAAUAACUACUUAAAAAUAAAUGAAAAAAAAAAGUCACUUGGGAAUAAUACCAAGGAAACAUGCUGUUGGGCAGAGAAGCUAACCUGUACAAUUCUAAUAUUGGCUCUGACUCAACUUUUACUUAAAGCCUUGAAUAAGUAUUCAUUAAUUUUCUCUUUGCCUUGAUUUCCUCAUCAGUAAAUUGUGGAUAAUAAUACUUACCUCACCUUGAAUAUUACUUAGUGAUUAUAGUAUGCUUUGAGGUCUAUAGAUGAAAGGCUUUAUCCAAAGCAUAGUGUUAUUAGUGUAUUAUUGUUACCAUUUCUUUGUUUAUGGGAGAUGAAGUGAUAUAAUUCCUAUGUAAAGUUUUCGGGUACUUAGAUUUUCUUCCUCUGUAAUUCUUCUAUUUUCAUAAAAAUAACAGCAUUUCUUUUUGAGAUCAUGCUGUCAAAAGCUGAGAAAUAAAAUGGUAUAAUAUUUUCCCCCUUUUUGAUGAUGUUUACUUGCUUGUUUUUUUUUUUUUCUUUCUCAUUUCCCUUCCUUUUUUAUCUAUUUUUUUUUGUGCAGCAUGAUAGAUGUGGAGAUAUAUUUAGAAGGAUUGCACAUGUUUAAUCUAUGUUAGAUUGCUUGCUGUCUGGGGAAGUCGGGAGGUGAAAGAAGGAUGUGGAGCAUGGGGUUUUGCAGGGGUGAAUGUUAAAAACCACCUUUGUAUAUAUCUUGAGAAAUAAAAAGCUAUUAUUGAAACAAAAAAGAAAAAGAAAGAAAGAAAAUGGGAGGCUAACUACUAUGUCCAGAAAAAAAUCUCUUUAUUCACUAAUUUGCUUAGAUAUAAU